rnacentral:rRNA from 1 species
UACAGAGGGUGCAAGCGUUAAUCGGAUUUACUGGGCGUAAAGGGCGCGUAGGCGGCCACCGCAAGUCGGUUGUGAAAUCUCUGGGCUUAACCCAGAAAGGUCAACCGAUACUGCGGGGCUAGAGUGCAGAAGGGGCAACUGGAAUUCUCGGUGUAGCGGUGAAAUGCGUAGAUAUCGAGAGGAACACCUGCGGCGAAGGCGGGUUGCUGGGCUGACACUGACGCUGAAGCGCGAAAGCUAGGGGAGCGAACGGG